CGGAGGCAUCAUGGCCGGGGCCCCCGACCCUUCUUCUCCUCCGGCCCCCGCCCUGCCCGGCCGCCACUACCGCGAGAGGCUGGGACAACUCCAGCGAGGCCUGCGGGCCAGUGAAAAGAAGAGAUUAGACCUGGAAAGAAAACUCUACGAAUAUAGCCAAUCUGAUGCGUACCUAGCUAAAGUGAAGUACAUGAAACUGAAGAAAUAUCUGGAUGAAAUAUGCGAGGCGGAAAGAAGGGCUCAGGUGCGAAACCAAGAGUAUUUAAAGGAAUUUGAGCGCAUUGAAAACCACAUUAGAAGUUUCACCACAAGUACAGAGAAGCUGCAAAAACUGAAGAUGGAAUGUGAGUUCCAAAUUAGGAGGAUGCCGCUACAUUCAAAAAAUAAUACUUGGAUGAAAGAUGAACCCAAAGGAAACAGCCAGGAGCAGGGGCUGCAAGUUGUGAGACAGGCAGGAAUUAACACCAAGACAGCCGUGUCAAGAGGAUUGUAUCAUCGGGAUGAAAUCUUUAUGGGCCGCCAAAUGUCAGCCAUCUCAAGCCUUGAAGAUUUUAGUACACGGCAGAAAUCUUCCCAGCCCACAAAGAGCUUUUCAAUUCCUGACCCACAUUCACGCCGACAGACAGCACAGAGCAGCAACGUGACAGACAGCUACGUAGUCCAAACUAAUAGUGAUAUAGUGUGCUCAAAUAAGCCUGACAAAAUAGAUGGGAAGGCAUCUCUUCAGAUGGGUGAGGAAAUGCCAGUCACAUCCAGUAUAUCACCUGAGGAGGUACAAACUCAUUGCUUAGAGAUAGAAAGCAACACAAAUAACGGCAAGAGUAAUUUCCCUGAAAGCAAGAAACCCGCUGAACUCAAUUCCCCGGUACAGAAAAGAUUAAGUCCGGAGAACAGCACGACUGAUUUAAAGUGUGACAGUUCGAGCGGAUCAGAGGGAACCCAGGGAGGAGCACCGUCACGCGCGUGUGCUGAAGUAAAGGAAGUAAGAACGGAGCGGUCCCUCCCCGUGGCGCCAAGCCUGAUGCGUGGAGUUUCUGAAAAUGAGCACGCAGAAGGAAAUCAUCGUGCCUGGGAAAGUUCCUUGGGUAGGAAGAACCACCGUAUUGAUGCCAACCAGCGGCCCUUUCUAAACAGGCCAGAGCAGGAAGAGGACAAUUUCAGCAGCAGCAGCAGCAGCAGCAGCAGCAACCUCACGGUUUCCGUGAGUGAGGAUGAUUGGGCCCCAAGUGAUUCAGAACUCCAGCCCAAUCUGGGUGAUGAUGUGGGCGGAAUCAGUGAGGAGUUAAUCCAUGUGGAGCAGGAAAAAGAUGCCCUGUCCGCCAAAAACAGUAAUUGCGAUCUACAGACUCUAAGCUCCCAGGCGUCAGAAAAGGAGUCUUCAGGCAAUUCACCAAAAAGAGAGGUGUGUUUAUCAUUCCGAGGUUUUUCGCACUUGCUGCAGUUCAUAGAAGACCAGGUGGAACAAGCUAACACUAAGCAUGUGGAACUCUAUCAAGCUGCAGCCCUUAACACCGAAAAACUGAACAGGCUAAUUAACCUUUGUAAUCAAACUGGCAUUUUGAAAGAAGAAGACCUUGAAGCAUGUGGUACAGUUGUCCUUCACCAGUUUCAGACAUUGUUGGAGUGCAUAUCAGCUAAACGCCUCUUACCUGAACACGAUCUUAUUGACAGAAGGAGCACCAUGGAUGAGAAACCAGUCAGAUUGGAGCAACCCCCAGAUUCGGUCUCAUUUCGGAAACGUUUAUGCCAGCAUGUUUAUACCCUAAAAAAGUACAAGGUUUCUCUCCAAGAGGAUGUAGCAAAGAUGUUUGAAACGCUACUAGCAGCAGAAAGCGAUGACCAAAGUCCCACGGCUACAGCAUUAUUGAAAAAGGCCCUUACAGAAGAGUGUGAAGAUAGGUCGUCUAUUCACGGUAAUGAUUCAUCUUGUAGCUUGCUAUCUAUUCUGAAUGACAAUAGUGGAAUAAAGCAAGCCAACCCCACUCAAUGGCUCCACAGCCUUGGUACAAAGGAACAAGAAGCCCCAAGCCGGUGUGAAGAUGAGAGCAAGGAAGAAAGCUUAGAAGAGAAGAUUCCUAUUACAGAGACAAAAGCAUAUCAAUUGCUGAAGCUGUCCACCUUGCGGGCUGGUGAGGACCAAACUAGAGGAAAGAAUCCAAAGAAAAAGGCAGGCGACUCCAAAUUGCAAGUGCCAGUGACUACCAUAGGCUUGGAUAAUGGCAGCCAAACUUUCAAGACAAAGACAAGUAACCAAAUCGGUUCAGAAGCUGUUUUUUCAUCCGGGGAAGGAAGUCCUUUGUCAAGAUUUGUUAAACUGCUGCACUUCUCAGGUCUUUGAACGACGGGCUGUGGUGGCUGUCUCUUGAAUUUUUCAUCGGCAUGAAAUACUAAUCAAAUCGUGGCAAUCAAAUUACCGGUCAGGAAUCCGUAGGCCCGAAAGCCGAAGGGGAAGAGUCACCAGUGUAAAAUCCAAAGCUUUCUGGGGUGAAUCAGAUGACAGCAACUCAGACAUCGAA